AAAAUGCUUUAAGGAAAAGGAAAUUUAAUAUAGAGUGUUCUUAUAUAUGUUUCAAGUACGAGUUUAGGGUUCUAUAUCCGCAAAAUUUGUUGGCGGUUUUUAGAUUUUGUCAAUUUCACUUGUUAUGUUAAAUACAUAAC